GAAGGUAGCUUCUUACUGCCUUGUGAUUUCAGGCCCACAUUCUCAAAUUUUUCUUAGAAUUUUUAGAGGAGUAGCUGAUAGAGUUGAGUGAAGCAUCAAGAAAUCUGUCCAGCUGGAUGAAAACACUGAGAAUAUAAGAGCUGCGCUUUGAGGGAGGAUUUUUUGUUCUUCCUGUGUGUACUGAAGUAAGAAUGUAAUGAAAUCAUGCAUUUCUUCUAACCAGGCGAGUUGCUGGUUCAGUGAGUUGCUGGAGACUUGCCUAUGCUAGGCAUACAAGACCAGGCCUGCUUACAUUAGACGCAUGCCAAAAUUUCUGUGUAUAGCUGUAGAAAAAUUAGCACAGGUUACUACUGUUGAAGGAUUACACAAACAAGCAGGACUAAUGCUACUAUGAGUACCCUUGCCUGGACAGAACAGAAUCUCCUGUAAGGAAUACCUGACAAUAUGUGCCUCCUACGGGAGCGUGUGCCUACUUCUUGACCUUGUUCAGUGUAAACUGAGAGAAAGAAGGAUUUUCUGUUUCAGGUACCUGUCACAAGAACCCAAAAAUGACCAAGUGCUGUGCAGAACUAAUGUAACUGUGAUGUCUUCAGCCAUCUCCUAGUCAGAGGCCAAGAACUGUCCAGAACCUGAAGAAGUACAUCUGAGGAGUCAUAGACCUUAAAGAAUUAGAGAUCUUGCAUUAAAGUGUGAUAUGGAGAAGGCCUUACAGGUACUCUUAAUACCUUAUUAAGUAAGGUGAUGGCAUGUUUCACCUUUCCGUUUUAAAUCAAAAAUUGUUAACAGUGGACCUAAGGCAAAGCUAGUUUGCAGCUAGAUUAAAGGAUGCAGUUUCACUUUGUAAUCAGAUUACAGUUUCUUCAGUUUAACAAUGCAAUUGAGGUCUCAUUUUUAUUAAUAUUUAGAAGGAAAAUUUCAGAAAAAAUAUAAAUAAGCAUCCAAAACUGAAGUACCUUCUUUUACUUUAUUUGAUUUUGGAAGGAGAGUAACAGUGAUUAAGGAACUUCUACUGAAAACAUCAGUACCUUCUCAAAACAAAAGCUCAAUCUGAAUACAAAGUUCACAGCUGAAGAUUUUUAUGCUGAAGCUCAGAUGCCUGCAGCAUUGAACGGUCUGGCUUAUUUUCAGUUGCGCUCAAGCAAUUCAGUCUGCUUUUCAGAAGGAUAUUUUUUGUGAUCUUAAAGAAGAGCUACUUUUAAUUGAUGUUUCUAGUACCUACUGUUCUUUAUCACGUGAUACAGAUUUUACAGGAUCUUUAUACUCAGGAGUUGCAUUGCCACUAUGAGGGUUAUACUCAGUUCCUGGUGGAAUCUCUUGCAAGGCCUCUUCUCCAAAGAGGUUUUUGAUUCUCUCCUGUGAGUGGAUAGGUAAGAAAGAAGCUUUCCCACUCACUAUUCAAAACCUAAAAAAGUUUUGUACCUGAAUUAUAAAAGAUGCCAGUAAAAGAUAUUAAAGUUUUGUUCUUUAGGUUUAAUCAGUUUGUUUAUAGAUGGCCUUUCUUUCAUAUGAGGGCAAAAACCGAAAAGUUAAUUUGUAUUUUUCUAUCCCACAUUUCUGUCAAUGUAUUGCAUGUUGUUAGAAUGCUGCAAGCACUUCUGGGGAAUUAUUUUUUUUUUCCUUAUUUGAAAAUAGUUUUUCUUAGUGUUGUGAAAAUUCAGCUACAGAGUGUGCAUUUCGGACUGUGGUCUGUUAAGGGUUAAGAAAAAUGCAGUUCCUAAAAGUAUUAUUAUUUUUCCCUUUUAUGGAUGAGCACCAGCCUUUAAGACAUCAGUGUAAAUAGAGUUUCCUGUUCCAGGGAAGUUUGGCUACUGCAGGAGCCCAGAGGUCCUUUGGGAAAAGCUUGAUAGUAGAACUGAGGGAAACACAUUUUGCAGCCCUUUUGUGCAAUCUCAAGUCCCAUAAGCACUUCUGGGAAAGUAAACCCUUCAUCAUACACACAGUAUUUAUUGCUAAAGCUUGCUAAUGGUUUUCAGAAGUUACUUUGUUAUCUGCAGAUCUGUGACUUCUAUCCUUGAAGCUUGUUGUGACUUCAAAAACCUGCAGAUUUGCAGAAAUGCUGAGCAGAAAUAGGAAUGCUGAACACUUCUCUGUGACCAGUUGGCAUCUUGCAGAAUGCAGUACUACAGCCAGUUUGGCAUUCAGCAUUUUUAGGAAAUCUCUUAAGAAAAUAUACUUGAAUUCCUACCUGAACUCUGUGCCAUCAGCAAAUUUCAUUUAUCAGGACCGUGUACUAAUUUAUUCAGAAAUGGUAUUGAUUCUUUUCUCCUGCUUUGCUCACCUUCUCCCAUUCACAUCUGAGAAAAAUUUGUGCAUGUUGAGAGGGAAUGAGGAAAGCAAGCUGUGUGGGUGAGAUAACUCAAUAUGAUGGAGAACAGCUACUGCACAUUUAUGUUACUGAGGUUCCUUGGGUGAUUACUACUUGCCUGUAUCUUUAUCUUCGUCAGACCAAGUUUCAUUUGGAUCUCUGCCACAGAUUUUCCAAUAUGACUUGAGGUGAAUCAUCUAAUUCUAUUCUAUAUCAUUAAAAAAGAAGCACUAAUUGGAUCUUUACUGGAUUUACUGGAUGUAAGUUGGCAAAGAAAUGUCCCAGAUGAAACCUGUAGGCACUGCCGUAAAGUAAGCAGUUGAAAUGUUAUAACAACUUGGACUAUUUGAAAAAUAACACUUAAUUGUUAAUUUAAUGUCUCCAUUUGUCUUUGUAUUUCCAUUUGAUUUCCACUUUUGAAUAUCAAAAGUAACAGUUUUUUAAAAGUGAACAUUAUAGAAAAGCUCAAAGGAAGUAUAUUUUGAAAAAAUUAAAAAAAAUAUUGGCUAUGGGGAUCAGAAUGAAAUAACGCAUUCCCUCUUUGUUAUUAUUCUUGCUUUGUGUUGCAAGUUAUCAUUUGGAAGUCUGGAGUAUAGCUUUCAUAAUGAGAAAUUAACUCCGUUAAAUUGCCACAGUUUGAUAAUUAAACAAGUAUUACUUUUAAUGGCCUAAACUUGAAAAAGUAAUUUUCUCUCUCAUUCCGUGAAGUUGUUUCAGGUAUGCUAGGCAGCUGAUGUGUAACUGUUACUCAUGUAAAGCAAAACACUGGGUGUGUGCUAUCUGAAGACCUCCAUAAAUCAACAAAGCUAUACAUAGCGCAGUCUGAUGUAGAUACCAGCUGAUAUUUCUGCAAAGACACUCCAAAUGAGAGAGGAAAUUUCACACUUCCUUAUUAUUCCAACAUGCUGAGCUUGCUUGCUAUUCAAUCAAAGUUUUCCAAGUUUUGUUUAGCAUAGUGGUGGUGUUUGGCUGGUUACAGUGGCAGGUACCACUUGUUCCAAGAUUGUUGUUAGCUGUGAGUUUUUUGAUCAUGCUGCAUGUCUGCAAAACUCCAAUUUUAUUAUAUGAGGUAUAUUAAUCAAGUUAUUUCCUUUUAAGCAGCCCAACUACAUCCCGUUUUGAUGAGCCGGUAUUAAAAGCCCGUAUUGUAAUGGAUGGUUGCACAGAGACUGUGCCACUUUUGUGUAUGGAAUUUGGAGAGCUCUACUUUUGGAAUCUGGCAGGUAGAAAGGGGAACUGAGCCUAAGCAUUGCACUGCUUUAGAUUUCUCUUGUGUGUUCAGUGCCAUUCAUGUUGUCAGAAAUCAGUCAGCUUCUGCAAACUCAGGUAAUCUAAGCUGAAAAUUAAUGCAAAGAAAGAAAAGUAGUAGAAACAAAGCAGUGAUAGGAAAGAGAUGUAAUAAUGAGUAAAGGUUAUUAUGUAAUUAUUAUGUAAUAAAAAUAUUGUGUAACUACUAAAAAAGAUAUGUAAUAAAGAGAAAAUAGACAUACUUUGCACUCUAGUGGAAAAAAAUGUGAUGUUGGAGUAGCAGUGAACAAAAAGAAAGCAAAAUCAGAAUAGUCACAUUAGUGACCAUAAUAGACAAAGGUUUCCAUGUGUUUUGAUAGUGAUUAGAUAAGUUAGUAAAAAAUUUACUUGCUAUCUAAAAAGUGAUCCAGUCUCUCCCUUCCCAAAAGUAAUGAUAUUCAUGGAUCUUUUUGUAGUUUUAGCCAAAUGCUGUGUAGUGCCUGAUGUAUAUGAUUAUAAAAGAUGAGUUAAUUUGGUUAAAUUAGGUAAUAGGAUCUUAGGUAAAAGUUGUGUUGACUCAAGACCACAGAGGGGUACAAAUCAUGCUCAUCUCUAAAAGCUGAGGCUGACAAAGUUUAUCAAACAACCCAAAGAGUAAGUGAAAGUAAAUGAAAAAUACAUCCAACAUAUGUAUAAAAAUGCACACAUGCAAUCACAAAAAAAGAAAAAAUUAAUGUUAAGAUAAUGUCAUUAAAAAUGAACAUAAGAUCCUUUCUAUUCCUUUAUGAAAAUUAUUGUGAGAUUAAUAAGAUGGUGCAGCUGGUAGAAAAAAAAAUUGUAUCAGGAAGUCAACAGUGAUUCAGAGUAUGAGAUUUUUGCUGGUAUAGAUUAUUGUAAUAUAAAAAUAUGUGCUUUUGGAGCUGUGGACUAACAACUUAUCAAAUACAAAUGCAAGAAGUAAAUGUAAAUGAACAAGAGACGGAAUCCUAAAUUACCAGUACCUUUAUUGAGUUGCAGAGACUCCUUCAGCGUGAUGUAUCUCCAAAAAGGAAACUGCAAAGGACAGUGUUAAAGCUACGUAACUCAAUGUUAUGGAACGAAGAAGGCAAUAGAAAUUACAGGGUGAAUAAAUCUGAAACUUCAGGCAGUGAAGAUAGAUUGAUAAAAACAGUCUUUUGAGAUAAAUGUGCAAAUCCUAUGUCAUGCAAAUUGGUGGUAAUUGUUAAUGUCAUAGGGGCCAGCACAGUAAUAAAUACAUCUAGAAAAGAUGCUUUUGCACUGCUAGACACUACAUUUUAUUACACAGGUGUUCCAGAUUAUGAGGAUAUGUUUGAAUGUCCAGGAAAUGCCGAUGCCACCCAGUAUGAAAAUAUUUGGAAGUGAUUUAAGUGACACAAGUACAAUGUAACUCUUCGAAGUUAGGUCUUAGGGGAGCAUCUUGCUAAAGGCACAGACAAUUGCUUUGAUAAAAAUUUAUCUUUUCCAAAAAAUGUCUUAGAAAAUGCUGAUUACACAACCAAGUUCAACAAAUAUUCUAAAGUGGAAACUGAGGGGAAAAAAAAAGUGUCUGUAGAUAACUACAAAAUAUUUUUACCUAGCAAGCUUUGCAGCAAGAAAUACAACAACAAAUAUAAGAUCUUUGUUGUGUUAGGUGAAUGCUUUACUUAUCCUUCUGUGCAUUUCCACAUCAAACUCUAGAGACAACCUGAGAAACUGUAGAAGGUCACUAUUAACCAAUGCUAAUGUGGCUUUUGUCAAAUAAGACAUAUGGAACAGCUGAACAAGUCUGCAACUUGAACUUAAAUGAUACCACCACAGAGAAUAGGUAUUAUUCACGGAUUGUGCAGAAAUUCUCCUGAAAGUACACGUAUGUGCUAUCCUAAGGUAGAUUUGUAUCUGGAAAACCAGAGUUAUUUGGAAUGACGGAAUGUUAGAAAGAUAACGGACAGCUCUGAUAAUGUAUAGAAAAGUGCAACAAAGAAAUAAGAAUAUAAAGAAUUCUCAAAAAGCUAGAUAGCAGCAUAAUGAGAGACACUGCAGAAUUCUGCCUGCCUGUAGUUCAAAAUCCAAAUGGAAAUUUAGCACAUACUAUCUAAGCUAGAGAAAACAAAUUUCUGGCAUUUUUCUGAGACCAGACACGUGGGUUUUUUUACAUUGGGAGCUCCCUGUGAGUUAGGAAUACAGAUUUUUAAGAUUCUGUAAAGGAAAACAAGGAAAAUACAAAACAUUCAAAAAAAAAAAAAAAA